AUGCAUCCAUGUGCAAAUCUCCUAGCAUUGAGCGGACGGAUCCAAGGGAAUUGGGGCGGGCAGCCAGCUGGCAGUGCACGCAUGGGCGAUCACGACGCAACAAAGUUCUGGGGACUGGGAGCGGACGGACGUGGCCCAAGGGAGAACAUGGGUGGGGAGCGUGCAGACCAUCGACGAAAGAGAACAACACUGGGUUUGUUAAUUACUCAACAAAUCAGAGAUCGAUCUCUUUUUUUAGAUGCAAAUAUUUUUCAAUUUAAUAUGUCCACUCCCCGUUACUACGUGACAUAUUUAGAUGCACUAGGUUUCGCAUUAAAAAUAUGCUUACUGUUUCUUCCUUCAGUUUUGGUGAACUUUCUGGUAGCAAGAUGUGCAAGAAAGCUAUUUCAUUCUGGAGACAUAAGUCAUCAACUUUCUCAUAGAGUCGUACAUAAACUGUUCUUUUUUUGA
rnacentral:rRNA from 1 species